rnacentral:hammerhead_ribozyme from 1 species
ACACUGCUGAAGAGUCCCAAAAUAGGACGAAACGGACUUUCAGUGC